GCAUUCUCCUCUCUGAAUAGUGGGAAGCAGGAUGCUGAGGUUUGACUGGCAUUCCUGAGGGGCACUGAAGGAGGCUGGAGUUGGAAGAAAUGAGCUCCAAGGUCUCCACAAUAACUCCUGACCCGACCCCGCUCCUCCCCGCUGGUCUCAGAUAAGAGCCAUCAAUCAAGCAUUUUGACAGCGAUGAGCAAAGGGAAUAAUGUACGCCACGAGUCUUCAGCCCAUGUUGGAACCUGGAGAGACUCGAGUCUAGUGGCAGGGAUGAGGCGUCGCCAGCAGCUACAGAGAUGUCCGGCUAAUCACCGCAGGAUGGCUUGGCCUCAGUGGAGAAUGUCUUGUAGUUUACAUAACAACAGACCUAGGCCCUGGCUGUGCCUGCACCUAUUCUGAGAACUUGCUUACGUGCCUAGAGACUGUUGAGUGCCUCUGGAAUCAAAAGAAAUUUUUGAUAUCUGCUUUAUACAUGAUAAUAGAUGUCUUUUGCGGUCACCCCCACUGCUGGAAAGCUAUUUAAGAGGAUGCUUUGAAUAAACUGGAGACACCAGU